CAAGGAAAGCUAAAAUCAAACAAAUAAUCUUUUAUUUUCGGGAUUUAUUGUAGCAGUUUAUAUUAAAUUUGUGCCAAAAACAUUAUCAACAACGCAUUUUGUACUGCAGACAAAACCAACUGCAGGGCAACAGCUGUUGCAAAAGAAACUCCUGUACAAAAUUUGUUAAUACACAAGGAUCUUGACAGAUAAAAAUACAAGUGAAUGUGUGAUCAUCAUGAAGAUAUGUUGAGAGCAAAACUGGCACACAUGCCAUACAAGACAGCCAAGCCAAAUUAAUUUUAUAUUAACGAAAAACAUCAGCAUCAGCGCAUCAUGAUUCAUCAACAUACAUGGGGGAAAAAAUAUAACAAAAGUGUGUCUGAAACGUUGAAUUUGUUAAUGUAAUUCAACAAACACAAUAAUUAAAAAUGAAACAGAAAACAAAUGACUAAAUUAGUCUGUCAUUGGAGAGAAAAUCAUAUUUGAGUACAUUGCAUCAUCAAAUUUAUAUAUGGGAAAAGCAUUAGUCUUUGCUUAUGUAUGUGAAAUAAAAUAUACAAAAGCUUCAAUGAUGUAGAUAUUAAAGAAAGAAGAACGUAAAAGCUACUGCUCUAUUUUAAAAUAAUUGAGACAACUGAGCUGGCUGUUUUUAUGCUAAAAUAUAACAUAAAGACACCAAGUGAAUGAUGUUAAUAUUAAACGUAUAUCACAAGACAUAUUGGCUUUAGUUUGUGUUACCAAGUGCUCCAAAAAUUAAGUGAAUUGUUUAUAAACUAUUUGAUGGUACACUUAAACGACCACCACCAACAACAAAAUGCAUUAAGAUUUAAGACCGCAUUCACAUGAUCUUAUGCUUCAACAAAGAUGAAUCUCUGAUAAUAAAUUUCAACUCUUCAACUGGAUUUAAAAAUCAUUGGGUUUAAAUGAAUCUCAACACUUGAAGAUCAUGACAUGGUGCUGAUAUGAUUGAUGUUUAUACUCUUGCUAAUGUAACACUUAUUGUUGCAAUUGGUAAACAUUUUGCACCACUUGACGGUGAGCUUUAUUUAUUUUUAACAAAAAUUAUUCAGUAGACCGUUGAUGUUGCUCAUGAAUCAGAACAUGUUAGUGUAUCAAGAAAGAACUGCUUUAAAUAAUAAUAAUAAUCUAUUUUAAAAAUACAAUAAUAUUGAAAAGUGAAUAAAAAUAAAAUAUUAAAAAUCAUUUAAUAAUAUAAAAACGUUGUGUUAAAUCGGUGAUAGUGGUAGUGAUAGUGAUCAGAGUUUUUGAACAUGUUGGUGAUAAAAGCAGAGAAAAAAAAGUGUGUCCUGUGAUUAGUGUUUAGUGUGUGUGAUCAUUGAACCUGUUGUGCUGCUGAUCAGAUAGAAUCAUCUUGAACUACAAGAUGAACAUCCGCCUAAAAGGUAGGAUUUUAUUAAAUUAAUAAUUUUAUUGAUGAUUAUAUUCGUUGGAAACUCCAUGAUACUCGUGAUAAUUUCAU